CGUGUAGGCGGUUGGUCAAGUCGGGUGUGAAAGCCUGGGGCUCAGCCCCAGAAGUGCAUCCGAAACUAGCCAGCUAGAGCGCGAUAGAGGAGGGUGGAAUUCCUGGUGUAGCGGUGAAAUGCGUAGAUAUCAGGAGGAACACCGGCGGCGAAGGCGGCCCUCUGGAUCGUUGCUGACGCUGAGACGCGAAAGCGUGGGGAGCAAACAGGAUUAGAUACCCUGGUAGUCCACGCCCUAAACGAUGGGUACUAGGUGUUCGGGGUGUUGACCCCCUGAGUGCCGCAGUUAACGCAUUAAGUACCCCGCCUGGGGACUACGGCCGCAAGGUUAAA
rnacentral:rRNA from 1 species